UACGUAGGGUGCAAGCGUUAAUCGGAAUUACUGGGCGUAAAGCGUGCGCAGGCGGCUUUGCAAGACAGAUGUGAAAUCCCCGGGCUUAACCUGGGAACUGCAUUUGAGACUGCAUGGCUGGAGUGCGGCAGAGGGGGAUGGAAUUCCGCGUGUAGCAGUGAAAUGCGUAGAUAUGCGGAGGAACACCGAUGGCGAAGGCAAUCCCCUGGGCCUGCACUGACACUCAUGCACGAAAGCGUGGGGAGCAAACAGG
rnacentral:rRNA from 1 species